rnacentral:lncRNA from 1 species
AUAGAUCAAGCCUGCAGUUACAAGGAUAAGUGUGGCAAGAGUCCAAAGUCAAUUAGCAGAAUUGAAGUUCGAAAAUUCAUCAGAAUCCACAGAAUUAAUCCAGAAAAAACAAAAGUAAAAAAUAAAACUAUUCAAUAAUUCAAUUUUUCGAUCUGAGGAAAAGCUUUCGGCUUAACACCAAUUUCGAUCUGUUUACUCCUCCCCACACCUAGGGUACUGGCC